rnacentral:rRNA from 1 species
AGCGAACGCUGGCGGCAGGCCUAACACAUGCAAGUCGAACGGACCCUUCGGGGUUAGUGGCGGACGGGUGAGUAACACGUGGGAACGUGCCUUUAGGUUCGGAAUAGCUCCUGGAAACGGGUGGUAAUGCCGAAUGUGCCCUUCGGGGGAAAGAUUUAUCGCCUUUAGAGCGGCCCGCGUCUGAUUAGCUAGUUGGUGAGGUAAAGGCUCACCAAGGCGACGAACAGUAGCUGGUCUGAGAGGAUGACCAGCCACAUUGGGACUGAGACACGGCCCAAACUCCUACGGGAGGCAGCAGUGGGGAAUCUUGCGCAAUGGGCGAAAGCCUGACGCAGCCAUGCCGCGUGAAUGAUGAAGGUCUCAGGAUUGUAAAAUUCUUUCACCGGGGACGAUAAUGACGGUACCCGGAGAAGAAGCCCCGGCUAACUUCGUGCCAGCCGCCGCGGUAACAC